UCAAUCCUCUCUCUCUCUCUCUCUCUCUCUCUGAUGUGAAGAUGAUGAGUUAGGUUGAGGGGAAUGUUGUCUGGUUCGAGAUCAUUUCUCUUGCCCUUUUCUUUCCAUGGGGCUGUUGAUCGAGCUUCGAUCGUAUGCGUUCAUGGGAAACUGAUUGGUGAUUUCGGACCAGGCUUCAUUCCCCUCAACAGUUUUCAAUGAGAAGCUUUGGCUAUUCAAGCUGCAGAUGCAUCUGUCAAGCCUCUUUCUGGAUGUCUGACUGCAAGGACUUAAACAGAUGCCAACGCUAUGCAAGGACUCGAAUGACAUGUGAAAGCUCAGAAUAUCAUUUGUGCCUUCUUGGUAAUCGUGCCUCUUUCUGAUUUUUGUGUCGGGAUUUGAACUAAUUCAAAAUAAAAUGAAAAAAGUAAAAUAAAAGAACUUGGACAAUGAGCACCCAAUAGCAUUGCACGAGACAUCAAUUGACAUUUCCAGUCCUGGUGGUGAUAUCAAUAGUCAAGUAGCAUCUUGCCAAGAACCCAAGAAUGAAGUGUGUUUUUGAAAUGUUGCUUUAAGGUUUGCUAGAUGUGCGAUUUACUCUUCUUAUGGAAUCGAGUAUUGUCUAUGCUAUAGAACUUGAAUAUUAAA